AAGAAGAAGAAGAAGAAGAAGGGGGGAAGCAGAGCAGAUGAAGGAGGAAGAAGGGGAGGACUGAUAUGCAUAUUUUCACUAGUCACGAUUGUGAAAGCAACACUCUAACCACUAGGCCAUGAAUACAAGAAUAUAAAGGGACUAUAACACUACAAGGUAUUCUAGUCAACUUUAGUUGAUUCUGCCUUCGAUUUGCUUUGAAUACGCCCAUACUUACAGUUUGCAUCUCUAGUUCGAACAUCCGCCUCUCAUCUUAUCUGGAACAUCGAUCUACUGGAAGCUGUUCGAAGAUGUACACCAGACGAAUUCUUUUUGUCAGUCUUGAGUGUCGUAAGACCACUCCUUUUUGCCAGCUGAGUGAAUUGGAGCAAUGUGAAAUGAAGUGUCUUGCUUAAGAACACAACGCACUGCUCGGUCUGGGAAUCGAAACCACGAUCUUACGAUUGUGAAAGCAACACUCUGACCACUAGGCCAUAAAUAUAAGAAUAUAAAGGGACUAUAACACUACAAGGUAUUCUAGUCAACUUUAGUUGAUUCUGCCUUCGAUUUGCUUUGAAUACGCCCAUACUUACAGUUUGCAUCUCUAGUUCGAACAUCCGCCUCUCAUCUUAUCUGGAACAUCGAUCUACUGGAAGCUGUUCGAAGAUGUACAUCAGACGAAUUCUUUUUGUCAGUCUUGAGUGUCUUAGUUCUCAAGGCAUCAAUACACAAAAGGUUCGACAUCUAGCAUUUGACUAGAUGAAGCCGACAAACUUUUCCUUCAUCUUUCAAACAACUUUGGCCACCAUUCAAUACCGCCUGGUUAUAAAAAGAGAGAAAGGAAAAAGCGCAGCACCUAUUACUCAUGCUUAGAAUUAUUGAAUCAAGAGAAAGGAAAAUGUUCGCAAACAAAAAGGAAGAUAAAUUGGUGUGGCGGAGCUCAGGCAUUUGACUACUGAAAGAAGUUACAGUUAAGAAGAGCAAGUGAAAUAAAGGGACACGGCUGUAAAUGGAAACUGUUGCACAAUAUGGAGAUCUGAAAAUCGACAAUCAACGAAACUCGCAUCGACAUGCACGUCAAAUCCAAAGUUGAUGGCAGUGUAAGAGUUAUCUCCCUUACACUAAUAGUUGCUGUCAGCAAUCACCCGCAUAAUUUGUUUUUAACAAGAAACGGCGUUUUCUUUGGACGAAAUAAUAUACUACAUAGCUCUCACUGUUUUCUCUAUUGCUGAACAAUUAACAAUUUAGAAUGAAAAAAAAUAAAGCCAAGUAUGUCUUUUAAA